AAAAAACCUAACCCUAAUCUUUUUUUCUCUCAGCCGCUCUCAUUCACUCAUACCCUCACCCCACAAACUCAAAUUCAAUAUCCAGAUCUGUGAGCAUCGAAGAAUCAAGAUCUAAACAAGUUACAGAUAAUCAAAACACGAACACGUCAAGAACUGAAAAUCGAAGAUCCAAGAAUACGAUUUGUUUCAUACGAAGAUCCAAGUUUCUGAUUCAUACGAUUCAGUUCCAUGACGGGUUACAAAUAUGAACAAUUAAUAAUUAUUUUAGUUAAUAAUCUAAUUAAUGUUUCUUUUAAGUUAAUGAAUGUUUCAUGUAGUUUUAAAUCAUAAUGGAGAAUGUUUUCAUAGCAAUGGUAUCAACCUAAGACGUUACUUAGAAGUAUUAUUUAGGUUAAUUUUGUUAUUUGACUAGUUUACUUGGGUACUGUAUUUUCUGAAUAGUAUUGCUAUGUAUUUCAUUUUGUUUGCUAAUAAAUUUGUUUGCUAAUUAUUAAGUUAUAUAUACCAUAAAAGUUGUUGUGUAAAUAGAUUCUAACUUACAUUUGUGAGAGGGUGAUUGUGUGUGCAGAAUUGGAUGUUUAUAGUGGUGUCAAGUGUGGACUCCUGGGGACUAUUGUUCUGCUGCAGAUAUGGACAUAUGGUAGCUCUAUAUAUAGUUGUUUUUAUUGGUUUUAGUUAACCUAGGAUAAUUGUUUAAUUAGUAUGGUUUCACUGAUUUUGGUUGAAUUUGGGGUUAUCUCUAGUAAGUUAAUUGAGUCUAUUUAUUACAAUCAUAUUGUUCAUCUUCCUGUUUUUGAUCUCUUUAAAUACAACAACAUGCUUCUGAUGUGUCCUUUUUGCAUCAUUUGAAGAAGUGAAGAUGGAUCUGCUGGUUUGUUUUUUUAAGCCAUUUAUAUUAAUUACUCCAUCAUCUUUUGUUGACUUGUUUUGUAUUAUGUUCUUGCGCAGCAGGUUUCAUAUGGUGCCUUGAAAAGUUGGAAGGAUGGAUUGGAAUCGGAUGCUUGGAUUUGGAAGUUUAUGUUUUUAUUUCAACUUUUAAAACAAUGUUUUGGGUUAUUUUGGACAUGUUAUGUGAUAUUUUGGAACAAGGGAUUGUGUUGGAUUGUUGGUUUGUUUUUUUGUUAACAUCAGGUUAUGUGUUAUUUUAGAACAAGGUAAUGUAUUAUUUUAGAACAAUGGAUUGUGUUAGUUUGUUUUUUUUUUUGAA